rnacentral:rRNA from 1 species
UACGAGUGCUCCAAGCGUUAUCCGGAAUCAUUGGGCGUAAAGGGCGUGUAGGUGGUUGUGUUAGUCUUCUGUUAAAUUCUUCGGCUUAACCGGGGGCAUGCAGGGGAAACGGCACAACUAGAGGAUGCGAGAGGUAAAUGGAACUCAUGGAGUAGGGGUGAAAUCCGUUGAUAUCAUGGGGAACACCAAAAGCGAAGGCAAUUUACUGGCGCACUCCUGACACUGAGACACGAAAGCGUAGGUAGCGAAUGGG